GAUGAACGCUGACAGAAUGCUUAACACAUGCAAGUCAACUUGAACUUCGGUUUGGGUGGCGGACGGGUGAGUAACGCGUAAAGAACUUGCCUCACAGCUAGGGACAACAUUUGGAAACGAAUGCUAAUACCUGAUAUUAUGAUUAUAUGGCAUCGUAUAAUUAUGAAAGCUAUAUGCGCUGUGAGAGAACUUUGCGUCCCAUUAGCUAGUUGGAGAGGUAACAGCUCACCAAGGCGAUGAUGGGUAGCCGGCCUGAGAGGGUGAUCGGCCACAAGGGGACUGAGACACGGCCCUUACUCCUACGGGAGGCAGCAGUGGGGAAUAUUGGACAAUGGACCGAGAGUCUGAUCCAGCAAUUCUGUGUGCACGAUGAAGUUUUUCGGAAUGUAAAGUGCUUUCAGUUGGGAAGAAAAAAAUGACGGUACCAACAGAAGAAGUGACGGCUAAAUACGUG
rnacentral:rRNA from 1 species